UACGGAGGGUGCAAGCGUUGUUCGGAAUCACUGGGCGUAAAGGGCGUGUAGGCGGCCUGUUAAGUCUGAUGUGAAAUCCCCUCGCUCAACGAGGGAACUGCGUCGGAAACUGGCAGGCUCGAGUACCGGAGAGGAAGGUGGAAUUCCCGGUGUAGCGGUGAAAUGCGUAGAUAUUGGGAAGAACACCAGUGGCGAAGGCGGCUAUCUGGACCGUAACUGACGCUGAGGCGCGAAAGCGUGGGGAGCAAACAGG
rnacentral:rRNA from 1 species